rnacentral:rRNA from 1 species
UGGGGAAUAUUGGUCAAUGGGCUUACGCCUGAACCAGCCAAGUCGCGUGAGGGAAGACUGCCCUAUGGUUGUAAACCUCUUUUGUCAGGGAGCAACGCCGGCUACGUGUAGCCGGACUGAGAGUACCUGAAGAAAAAGCAUCGGCUAACUCCGUGCC